UACAGAGGUCUCAAGCGUUGUUCGGAUUCAUUGGGCGUAAAGGGUGCGUAGGCGGCGUGGUAAGUCGGGUGUGAAAUCUCGGGGCUUAACUCCGAGACUGCAUUCGAUACUGCCGUGCUUGAGGACUGGAGGGGAGACUGGAAUUUACGGUGUAGCGGUGAAAUGCGUAGAUAUCGUAAGGAAGACCAGUGGCGAAGGCGGGUCUCUGGACAGUUCCUGACGCUGAGGCACGAAGGUCAGGGGAGCAAACGGG
rnacentral:rRNA from 1 species